UGAAAAACUAACGGUAAAUAAUAAGGAGUGCAUCGUAAUUCAUAUAAAGUUGAUAUAAAGUAUCUAAAGGCUUCUAUAGUAGCUGACAGGAAACAAGAUGGACAGGUGGAGGUGUGGACGGAGCAGCUGAUGUCCUCCGGCGCUGGAGAGUAAAAGUCUUGUGGAGGGAAAGUAGCAGCCGUCCUCUGAGGGACGACUGAAGGCUGUUGGAGACAAGGUGUCCAGGACUUUCAGGAUCUUGUCAGGACUGGGGAUUCUGGAGUCUCUACCUGUCAACAGAGCCUCUGAGGGACGACUGAAGGGCUGUUGGAGACAAGGUGUCCAGGAGCUUCAGGAUCUUGUCAGGACUGGGGAUUUGGGGACAUAGAGUCUCCACCUGUCAACAGAGGUGCCAGCCAUCAUCAGCCUGCAGGAAAUAGGAUAUGAUAGGCGCAUGGCCUAAUAUUGGGUGGUUUUCCCACAGUGGGAGCUGUUUGGGGAGAAUGUCCAGACGGUUCCUAAUGACCCGUGUCUGCCACCAGCUCUGCCUCGGGGAGCUGAAGAAUGGUUUGGUCACAUGGUCCAUCAGGGAGAAAACAGAGGAAGUUGGGGAAAGAAUAGAAGUGAAAAGAAGUGUGGAGUUGCCCUCCCCUGCAGCAACGUGUAUCCUGCAUUUUCACACCAUGACGAAAAAAAUGUGCCAAGUCCGUCCACUAGAGCGUGUCUGUCUGACUGCACAACAUCGGCUCGUCAUUUCCCUCCGACUGGAGAAGGAGAAGGGAGAAGACAAGAGGAAAGAGAGAGAGAGAGGGAGAGAGAGAGAGGAGGAGAACGUCUCGUAUUGUGAACUCGACUGCUGAUGUGACCAAAUCCCUCCAAACAGGGUGACAAUGUGCUUAAUGUUGAGCUGAAGCUGAAGGAACAAAACCAGAUCUACAUGAGAGAAGCUGCAGCUCUGGAGUGAAUUAAACGACAAAGAUGAGUGGAUGUGACAUGCACUGUAAAAAAUGUCUCUAGAUUUUAGGGUGAAAAGCUGCUAAAACAUGACAGUAAAAGACGUAAAAUGAUAAAUGGUCUUUAUGUUAUUUUGCGUCUUCUUUGGCCAAUUUGUGUCUAUUUCAAUAGUUUUGUGUCAUUUUUACAUCUAUUUUUUGUCAUUUUGACGUCUAUUCUUGGUCAUUUUAUGUCUGUUGUAGUCAUUUUUACAUCUAUUUUUUUCAUUUUGUGUUUUCUUUGGUCAUUUUUUGUCUUUUUGGUCAUUUUUACAUCUAUUUUUUGUCAUUUUGUGUCUUUUUUAGUCAUUUUUACAUCUUUUUUUUUUCAUUUUGCGUCUUUGGUCAAUUCGUGUCUAUUUUGAAAAAUUUUUAGCUUUUUUGUCACUUUGUGUCUUUUUUUAGUCAUUUUUACAUCUAUUUUUGUCAUUUUGUGUUUUGUUUUUUGUCAUUUUUACAUCUACAGUCAUGGAAACAUUCUUUUAGGUUUUAGGGUGAAAAACUGCUAAACCAUGACAGUAAAAGACGUAUAAUGAUAAAUGAGUUAAUUUAGUUUCAGUAACAAUGAAACUGUAAGUGUAUAUAUCAGCCAAAACUGGAUUUUUUACAGUUUUGUUUUUUUAAAAAUACAUUGAUACAUCAUUACAUCGUUUUUUCCUGUAAUUUUUUGGUCAUUUUUACAUCUAUUUCUUGUCAUGUUGCAUCUUUUUUGGUCAAUUUGUGUCUAUUUUGAUAAUUUUGUGUCAUUUUUACAUC